GGAAGGAUCAUUAACACGUUAUCCACGUAUCACCAUAGAGAACCGUUUAAUUCUACCUCUGACCGGAAUGAACAGAAGCGUUAUAUCGUCUAAUGAAAGGGCCUGCUUCACCGCGUCCGACUUUAUUAGCUAUCUCUGCAGAGCAAUCUGUGGAUCUGUUGAAUCCGUCUCAGUUGGCACCCUCUCGGCGAACAGCUCUCCUUUCAUGAGAUGCGCGCUGGGAAACGUAUUUAUAACCAUUCUAACCCCUUUUUGCUAGUUGACUUUUAUAUGUUGUUGGCGGUUUGCUUCGGCAAGUCUCAGCACACGUUUAAUUAUUUGAACGUUAAAAAUACAACUCUUAGCAAUGGAUAUCUAGGUUCUCGCAACGAUGAAGAACGCAGCGAAAUGCGAUACGUAAUGCGAAUUGCAGAAUUCAGUGAAUCAUCAAAUCUUUGAACGCAAAUUGCGCUCUUGGGUAGCCCUAGGAGCACGCCUCUCUCAGUAUCGGUUCAACCUUCUCUCAGCAGCGUGCUUAAAACACACGCGUUGGCUGGAUAAUGAGAGUCUGCCUCACACGCAGUCUCUUUAAGUGCAUGGAGUGAGCAUCGGCCCUCGAUCAGCUUUAAUUAAAUUCAUUUUUAAUUAAAUAGUUGGAACUCGGCUUGUUGUUCAGGAGUGACGUGAAUAUUGGCCCUUGUGGUCUAACUUUUACGUGUAUCUACUGAAUGAUAAUUUAAAAGCUAAGAUCUAAUGAACGUUCGAAUCAGUCUUGAUGUUUGCGCGAGUUAACCAUAUGAAUAGAUCUAAUCAUUUAUUCUGAAUUUUGAUCUGAGAUGAAGCGAGACAACCCCCUGAAUUUAAGCAUAUUAAUAAGGGGAGGAAAAGAAACUAACAAGGAUUCCCCCAGUAACGGCGAGUGAAGCGGGAAGAGCUCAAUUUGAAAAUCGAUUUCCCAAACGGGACAUCGAAUUGUAGCCUAGAGACGUACUAUCAGCUGAAACCUGGGUAUAAGUUCUUUGGAAUGAGGCAUCAUAGAGGGUGAGAAUCCCGUAUAUGACCCAAAGCUUUCAGCGUACGAUGUAUGUUCAUCGAGUCGAGUUGUUUGGGAUUGCAGCUCUAAAUGGGUGGUAAGUUUCAUCUAAAGCUAAAUAAUGGCGAGAGACCGAUAGCGAACAAGUACCGUGAGGGAAAGAUGAAAAGAACUUUGAAAAGAGAGUUAAAAGUACUUGAAAUUGCUAAGAGGGAAGCGCUAGAAACCAGUGAUACGCCGAGUCAAUCGCUGUCAGCCCCACUAGUUGGUGUAAGUAAUGGGCAACCUUGCUUGCGCCACCGAAAGGGUGGUUGGCGGUUUAUGAUUCGGUGUCAGUCAAGAUCAAUUCGAAUUGUGGAAGAAGGUGGCGAGAAAGGUAGGUGAGCAAUCACUGUUAUAUUCUUGUCACUCUACCUCGGCUUGGAUUGAGGAAGUAAUGGUGCGCCGCUUGCGGCUUGGUCCUGCGUCUCUGUUGUCCUAUUCGCUCUGAUAGCAAUGCUAUCUUGGUGGAGACAGGCAAUACUGGGCGCAGUGAUUCUAUGUGCCAUCACGAUCUUGUACGAAAUGGUUUCUAUCGACCCGUCUUGAAACACGGACCAAGGAGUCUAACAUCUAUGCAAGUAUUUGGGUGCAAAACCCUGAUGCGCAAUGAAAGUAAAGGCAGCCUCGUGCUGCUGAGGUAGGAAUCCUGCAAGGGAGGCACUAUCGACCGAUCAUCACUUGUGAAAGAUUUGAGUAAGAGCAUAUCUGUUGGGACCCGAAAGAUGGUGAUCUAUGCCUGAACAGGGUGAAGCCAGGGGAAACUCUGGUGGAGGCUCGUAGCGAUACUGACGUGCAAAUCGUUCGUCUGAUUUGGGUAUAGGGGCGAAAGACUAAUCGAACCAUCUAGUAGCUGGUUCCCUC
rnacentral:misc_RNA from 1 species